UAAAAUAAAAUAAAAUAAAAUAAAAUAGAAGAUUAGCAUGGCCCCUGUGAAAGGAUGACAGCAUAUUCGUGAAGCAUUCCAUAUUUUU
rfam:Canis lupus familiaris chromosome 38, whole genome shotgun sequence.